AGUGAACGCUGGCGGUAGGCCUAACACAUGCAAGUCGAACGGCAGCACAGUAAGAGCUUGCUCUUACGGGUGGCGAGUGGCGGACGGGUGAGGAAUACAUCGGAAUCUACUUUUUCGUGGGGGAUAACGUAGGGAAACUUACGCUAAUACCGCAUACGACCUACGGGUGAAAGCAGGGGAUCUUCGGACCUUGCGCGAUUGAAUGAGCCGAUGUCGGAUUAGCUAGUUGGCGGGGUAAAGGCCCACCAAGGCGACGAUCCGCAGCUGGUCUGAGAGGAUGAUCAGCCACACUGGAACUGAGACACGGUCCAGACUCCUACGGGAGGCAGCAGUGGGGAAUAUUGGACAAUGGGCGCAAGCCUGAUCCAGCCAUACCGCGUGGGUGAAGAAGGCCUUCGGGUUGUAGAGCCCUUUUGUUGGGAAAGAAAAGCAGCAGGUUAAUACCCCGCUGUUCUGACGGUACCCAAAGAAUAAGCACCGGCUAACUUCGUG
rnacentral:rRNA from 1 species